GAUGAAGAACGUAGCGAAAUGCGAUACGUAGUGUGAAUUGCAGAAUUCAGUGAAUCAUCGAAUCUUUGAACGCACAUUGCACCUCUCGGUAUUCCGGGAGGUAUGCCUGUUCGAGCGUCAUUUGUUCCCUCAAGCUCUGCUUGGUGUUGGGUGUUUGUUCCGCCUCUGUGUGUGAACUCGCCUCAAAACAAUUGGCAGCCGGCGUACUUGUUUCGGAGCGCAGCACAUUUUGCGAUCCAGAUCAACGUACAGCGGCAUCCAAGAAGCCUUAUUUAACGCUCUUGACCUCGGAUCAGGUAGGGAUACCCGCUGAACUUAAGCAUAUCAAUAAGCGGAGGA
rnacentral:misc_RNA from 1 species